GCCAGGUGUGGUGGUGCACACCUGUAGUCCCAGCUACUCAGGAGGCUGAGGCAGAAGAAUCGCUUGAACCCGGGAGGCAGAGGUUGCAGUGAGCCAAGAUCAUGUCACUGCACUCCAGCCUGGGUGACAGAGUGAGACUCUGUCUCAA
rnacentral:sRNA from 1 species